GCAAGUCGAACGCUUCUUUUUCCACCGGAGCUUGCUCCACCGGAAAAAGAGGAGUGGCGAACGGGUGAGUAACACGUGGGUAACCUGCCCAUCAGAAGGGGAUAACACUUGGAAACAGGUGCUAAUACCGUAUAACAAUCAAAACCGCAUGGUUUUGAUUUGAAAGGCGCUUUCGGGUGUCGCUGAUGGAUGGACCCGCGGUGCAUUAGCUAGUUGGUGAGGUAACGGCUCACCAAGGCCACGAUGCAUAGCCGACCUGAGAGGGUGAUCGGCCACAUUGGGACUGAGACACGGCCCAAACUCCUACGGGAGGCAGCAGUAGGGAAUCUUCGGCAAUGGACGAAAGUCUGACCGAGCAACGCCGCGUGAGUGAAGAAGGUUUUCGGAUCGUAAAACUCUGUUGUUAGAGAAGAACAAGGAUGAGAGUAACUGUUCAUCCCUUGACGGUAUCUAACCAGAAAGCCACGGCUAACUACGUGCCAGCAGCCGCGGUAAUACGUAGGUGGCAAGCGUUGUCCGGAUUUAUUGGGCGUAAAGCGAGCGCAGGCGGUUUCUUAAGUCUGAUGUGAAAGCCCCCGGCUCAACCGGGGAGGGUCAUUGGAAACUGGGAGACUUGAGUGCAGAAGAGGAGAGUGGAAUUCCAUGUGUAGCGGUGAAAUGCGUAGAUAUAUGGAGGAACACCAGUGGCGAAGGCGGCUCUCUGGUCUGUAACUGACGCUGAGGCUCGAAAGCGUGGGGAGCAAACAGGAUUAGAUACCCUGGUAGUCCACGCCGUAAACGAUGAGUGCUAAGUGUUGGAGGGUUUCCGCCCUUCAGUGCUGCAGCUAACGCAUUAAGCACUCCGCCUGGGGAGUACGACCGCAAGGUUGAAACUCAAAGGAAUUGAC
rnacentral:rRNA from 1 species